AUUAAAUGAAAAUAUCUUGGUAUUAUGUAAAUCAUUCUAUAUAGUUAAAUCUAAGAGAAAUCUGUACUUCUUUGAAAAUAGAUUAAUUAUUGUGUUUAAAGUUAGGUUAGGUUAGAUUAAAAGUGUCGUACGAUGCAAUAAUAUUACUAUGAGUUUAUUGUCAAUGAGAUAACAAAGUAAAUGGAUAAUUCGAAUUCGUAAGUGCCUACUUUUCCCUUUUUUUUAUACUCAGAAAAGUUAUUUUCUAAUGUUUGAUAGUUAUACUGGGUUAUUAGGUAUUUUAUUGUAUGAUCCGCCUACAGAAAUAUAUAUAUUUUUUAAAUCCCGUCACCUUUGGCUUGGACAUUCGACUCCUUUCAACUGUUGUUUCUAUGGAACUGAGUGAAAAUCGCAUAAAAUUAACGAUCCGUAUUUCAGAAAGUAAAUAUCUGGAUCGCAAAUUUUUAUGCAAUUUUGGACUUGGUUUUCAUACGACGAUAUUUAAAUGAAUUCAAAAACACAGGCCCCAAUACCAUUCAAAUUAAUAUUCAGUCAAUAAAACACUCGUAUUUAAACAAUUAUUGUAGUUUAUGCUAAAUACUAUAUUAGAUUAAAUCAACUGUAAGUUAAGGUUGUUUAAAUACGACUCUACUUUGAGAUAAAUAAUAAUAAUAAUUUUUUGUCACAAAAAAAAUUGAUUUAUUUUUAAAACAGUUCAUUAUAAUGUAGUUUACACCUAAUAUUCGGUCAAGAUUAUACCUAUUUUUAAUGAAUCGGACCUUUUAUUGCAUUUCAUAUAGCCAUUAAUUAAAACCAAUGUAAUUCAGUCAUUCCAUAUACAUAUCAGUUUAAUUACAUUUUGAUAAUGUUUAAAUAAGAUCACAAUUUACUUCAAUGAUUCUUAUGUUUAAGUUUAUGUUUUUAACAUAUAACGUUAUAGUAAGUAUGUGUUGGUAGGUGGUUUAGUUGUAGUGUGAGGCGGAAGCUUGUAAAUAAACAGGCAUUUAAUACUAACAAGUUUUAUCUUUUUUUCGAAUGUAUCAUGUAUGUACGACAUAUAAAUAAUAGAAACAAUGAUAAAAAAUUAAUAAAAACAUCUUAAUAAAAUAAUUUUUUUCUACUUUUACCAGAUUAGUCCUGGCCGAGCGGACUUAACCGCAUAAACUUUUUGUGAAAUUUAACAGUUUAAUGCCAAAUAGAUGACGGUUUUGUCUCUCUCUCACUUCGUUAUACUCCGUGUAAUAAUACUAGAAAGCCUUUUAAGUAAUUACUAUUUACUUAAUAUAAUUUAUCAUUAAAUUAUGAAUAAUUCGCCUUGUUGCAAUAAACAAGGCAUUAGCAUUACAUUCGUUACACCAUUUCCUCUUAAGUGUUAAUGAUACCUAAAUAGUGACAUUGCACGUGAUAGUUGAAAUAUGUCAUUAAAACACUUCUCCUCUCCUUCUCUUGACAAAAACUUAUAGGAAUAAAGGAGUUUUCCAUCAUUGGGCAUCGUGAAUAGCAACAGGCCAAUAUAGACUAGCUUAACGUAAUAGUGAACUGUCUUAAAAUUGUUGCUACGAGCUAAAACGAAAUUAAAAGUCUUCUCUUUUUAGCCUUGGCCAUUGGCAUAAAACCCGUCAUCCUGUUCAAUUAUUUAUAAAAUGCAAUUAAUAGAUGAAAAAUGCAAAUGUUGCAAUAACGGUUAGUUGCGGCAGGAUGGUGUUGCUAUAUGAUUCAUAUCGCUUCGAAAAAAUAAUAAUUCAAAUUUCCUUAAAAAAGGGACACUAUCUAUUUAAGCACGUAUCAAUUACUAGUACAAAUGUACAUACGCAUACAUGUAUAGCUGCCUUUUUUACUGACCAAACAAUAAAAGACUUAUUGACUAAGAGAUGGCGCUUAAUUAAAUGUCAAUGUCCAGUUUUGACUUAUUACAUGCCACGUACGAAAAAAAUAAAUUAGAAUUUUAGUCUUCAUCUUCUCGUGCACUGAAGUUCAUUAAUUAUUAAACGAAAGCCAAUGUUAUUAGUCCAUAUUUAUAAAAAAAAGUUUUACCUUUUGCUUUCAAAAAAUCAAGCAAUGCCUCCAAAGUAUAUGCAUAAAAAUAAGUGAAGGAAAAGGUCUCGCUUCUGCAAAGUAUAAGGGCCCGUAUGAAUAAAAGUGAAGCUUUUGCUUAUAAGCAAAAGGUAGAAGCAAAAGGUAAUGCUCUGAUCAAAAGGUAGAAGCAUAAGGAUUUACUUCUUUACAUAUGAAUAACGAUAACCUUUUACUCACGAGCAAAUGCUUCAUAAUAAUGAGCAAAAGGUGGCGAAAACCUCAGGUCGAGACUUGUUUAAUUUCAUGUGAUUACGUUUGGCUCAGACUAAUAAGCUGGUUCCUUUGUGUCUGUGGUUUCAUCUAUAUUUCUUGUUACUCAAGUAGUAAAAAAAAGCUAAAUGACUUUUAGUGAAGAGGAAGUUGAACCACAGAGUAAUAUUAGUGAAUUGAAUUUUAUUGCAAAGGAGAUGCCUCAUACCCUGAAAUUAUGAUGAAAUAACAAAUUCCAAGCGCAAAGAAAAAGAAAGACCUAGCUCUCGAAAGAAUUACAGCUAAAUAUGAAGAAAAUCGAAAUCACCAAGUUAAUGAAGAAAGUUAAUAACAUGAAAACAAGACUAAAGAAAAAAACAGAUAUUAAUAAGACCGGAAAUCGAAAAAUAAAGUUAUUGGACUGGGAAAAAUUGUUGUUCAAAGCAAUGGAAGGUGAUACAAAUCCGACAGUUAGUAGAAUUGCAGGGGCCAAAUCUUGUGGCGUGUUACAAGAAAAAAGUAAAACUGCUGAAAAUGAGAGUUCGUCAUCAUCAGUAACAGAAAGUAACAAUCCUGGCAAGCAAAACUAUGCAUAUUCCAGCGUUUCUGCCACACAAUCCUCAAAAAGAAAUGCAUUAGCGACAUACGAAACAGACGAAACAAGAAGUUUGACCACUUCAGAGCUGCAACGUUUGGUAUUAUUAGAACAACUGAAAACCACCAGGGUGCAGAGGGAAUACUACAAUGUGAAACUUUAAGAAAUAAUGGAAAAAAGUGGAAAUACUGAAAAAAUUACAGCUGUAGGUUCCUUGACAUAUCUGGACUUGUAAAUACUUUUUUUUUGGGCAUAGUUGAAAUAUUUUUUCAUUUUGUUUUGUACUAUAUUCGUUUUUGUUAUUACUACAUUAGAAUUAAUUAAAAUAUUAGAAACCAUAAUAUAAUGGUAUUUUUUUGUCCAGUAUUUUGUAAACAAUAAAUUUAAAAUAAAAAACA